rnacentral:tRNA from 1 species
AAUAGAGAAGUACGGCUGGUAGUAUAACUGACUUGAAAUCAGUAGUCGAAGGUUCAACUCCUUCCUCUUUUG